GCUGCUCGAAUGAAUCACACACCUCUCCGUGGUGAACAGCAGGCAACGAUCUUAUGGUCGGCGAAGAUGUGGUU
rnacentral:ribozyme from 1 species